rnacentral:rRNA from 1 species
UACGGAGGGGGCUAGCGUUGUUCGGAAUUACUGGGCGUAAAGCGUACGUAGGCGGUUUUGUAAGUUAGAGGUGAAAGCCUGGAGCUCAACUCCAGAAUUGCCUUUAAGACUGCAUCACUUGAACGUCGGAGAGGUGAGUGGAAUUCCGAGUGUAGAGGUGAAAUUCGUAGAUAUUCGGAAGAACACCAGUGGCGAAGGCGGCUCACUGGACGACUGUUGACGCUGAGGUACGAAAGCGUGGGGAGCAAACAGG